CGAACGCUGGCGGCGUGCCUAAUACAUGCAAGUCGAACGCACUCUCGUUUAGAUUGAAGGAGUUUGCUCUGAUUGAUAACAUUUGAGUGAGUGGCGGACGGGUGAGUAACACGUGGGUAACCUGCCCUAAGUGGGGAUAACAUUUGGAACAGAUGCUAAUACCGCAUAAAACCUAACACCGCAUGGUGUAGGGUUGAAAGAUGGUUUCGGCUAUCACUUUAGGAUGGACCCGCGGUGCAUUAGUUAGUUGGUGAGGUAAAGGCUCACCAAGACCGUGAUGCAUAGCCGACCUGAGAGGUAAUCGGCCACACUGGGACUGAGACACGGCCCAGACUCCUACGGGAGGCAGCAGUAGGGAAUCUUCCACAAUGGACGAAAGUCUGAUGGAGCAACGCCGCGUGAGUGAAGAAGGUUUUCGGAUCGUAAAACUCUGUUGUUGGAGAAGAAUGUAUCUGAUAGUAACUGAUCAGGUAGUGACGGUAUCCAACCAGAAAGCCACGGCUAACUACGUG
rnacentral:rRNA from 1 species